UAGGGAAUCUUCGGCAAUGGGGGGAACCCUGACCGAGCAACGCCGCGUGAGUGAAGAAGGUUUUCGGAUCGUAAAGCUCUGUUGUUAAGGAAGAACGAGUGUGAGAAUGGAAAGUUCAUGCUGUGACGGUACUUAACCAGAAAGGGACGGCUAACUACGUGCCAGCAGCCGCGGUAAUACGUAGGUCCCGAGCGUUGUCCGGAUUUAUUGGGCGUAAAGCGAGCGCAGGCGGUUAGAAAAGUCUGAAGUGAAAGGCAGUGGCUCAACCAUUGUAGGCUAUGGAAACUGUUUAGCUUAAGUGCAGAAGGGGAGAGUGGAAUUCCAUGUGUAGCGAAGAAAUGCGUAGAUAUAUGGAGGAACACCGGUGACGAAAGCGGCUCUCUGGUCUGAAACUGACGCUGAGGCUCGAAAGCGUGGGGAGCGAACAGG
rnacentral:rRNA from 1 species